rnacentral:rRNA from 1 species
UACGUAGGUGACAAGCGUUGUCCGGAUUUACUGGGCGUAAAGAGCGCGCAGGCGGUCGUUCAAGUCGAGUGUGAAAGCCCCCGGCUCAACUGGGGAGGGUCAUUCGAUACUGAUCGACUCGAAGGCAGGAGAGGGAAGUGGAAUUCCCGGUGUAGUGGUGAAAUGCGUAGAUAUCGGGAGGAACACCAGUGGCGAAGGCGACUUCCUGGACCAAUACUGACGCUCAUGUGCGAAAGCGUGGGGAGCAAACAGG